GUAUAGUUGCUUAUUCCCCACAGAUCAUUCAUUAAUGGCUGUUGAUUCCCCUCAGAGUUACCUCUCCGUUGGUUUCGAUAAACAUCGAGUUUUUCCCGAUCGUCUGUUGACGGUUGUUGGUGAUAUAUUUCCCCAUGCAGAGUUACCUCUCCGUUGGUCUCAGUAAACGUUGAGUUUUUCUCAUUCGUCCGUUAACGUCUGAUUGUGUAUCCUAUUCCCCAGUCAUUCGUUAAUGUCUG
rnacentral:lncRNA from 1 species